rnacentral:pre_miRNA from 2 species
ACUUUCUGACAAAAUGCGAUGUGUGCAUUGCAUUGCGACGGGUUACAUCACUGGUCAUAACAUGAUGUAACCCAACGCAGCAUGAUGUAAGCAUCGUGAUACAUUGGAGGUUUAAAGA